rnacentral:rRNA from 1 species
GGGCCCGCACAAGCAGUGGAGUAUGUGGUUUAAUUCGAAGCAACGCGAAGAACCUUACCAAGGCUUGACAUACAGAUGAAUUAGUUGGAAACAAUUAAGUCCUUCGGGACAUCUGUACAGGUGGUGCAUGGUUGUCGUCAGCUCGUGUCGUGAGAUGUUAGGUUAAGUCCUGCAACGAGCGCAACCCCUACUUCUAGUUGCCAGCACGUAAUGGUGGGAACUCUAGAGGGACUGCCGGUAUUAAAUCGGAGGAAGGUGGGGAUGACGUCAAAUCAUCAUGCCCUUUAUGUCUUGGGCAACACACGUACUACAAUGGCCGUGACAGAGAGAAGCUACAUAGCAAUAUGAUGCAAAACUCAAAAAGCGGUCUCAGUUCGGACUGAAGGCUGAAACUCGCCUUCACGAAGUCGGAAUUGCUAGUAAUGGCAGGUCAGCAUACUGCCGUGAAUACGUUCCCGGGCCUU